rnacentral:hammerhead_ribozyme from 1 species
AUUCAGAUGACGCGUUCCAAAUAGGACGAAAUGCACAUCCUGAAU